UUCAUAUGGGCACAACAGCGGUUGGUGAAGUGGCGCCCAUGUGAGUGGUGGCUGUCGGGGCCGCCGGUGCAAGGUCACGCCUCACUAUUUUGGGGUGGGAUCUGGAUUCUAGACCUGGAAGUACUGAUGAUUAAUGCCUGCCCUCCAUGUGCAGCUCCAUCCAGGAGGAACAGGUAACACAGCCUGCUGAAUUUGAAAAAUGUAUGGUUCCUCUUUCCCACCAGAUCACUCACUGCUUGAACAGCUCUCACUUCCAGGUAACACAUGGAAUUCCUCUGUACCGGCUGCAUUUGUAAAUCAAAGCUAGGACAAAAGCGAAAAAGCUGGCUGGGCACUAAUCAAACAAGCCUUUUUUAUUUUAGGCAUCACCAUUGGAUUUGUGUUGUUCUGAUUGUAGAAAUAACAUGGCUUUAGAAUUGGAAUAUUUACCCUGUAUUAUCAUUUAUGAAACAUAGUCUUAUGAUUGUUGCUAUUUUUGGUUCAUCGAACACACUUUACCACACCUGACCUGAGUUGGUCAAGUCUGGCUUUCCA